rnacentral:rRNA from 1 species
ACUCCUACGGGAGGCAGCAGUGGGGAAUUUUGGACAAUGGGCGAAAGCCUGAUCCAGCAAUGCCGCGUGUGUGAAGAAGGCCUUCGGGUUGUAAAGCACUUUUGUCCGGAAAGAAAUCCUUGGCUCUAAUACAGUCGGGGGAUGACGGUACCGGAAGAAUAAGCACCGGCUAACUACGUGCCAGCAGCCGCGGUAAUACGCAGGGUGCGAGCGUUAAUCGGAAUUACUGGGCGUAAAGCGUGCGCAGGCGGUUUGCUAAGACCGAUGUGAAGUCCCCGGGCUCAACCUGGGAACUGCAUUGGUGACUGGCAGGCUAGAGUAUGGCAGAGGGGGGUAGAAUUCCACGUGUAGCAGUGAAAUGCGUAGAGAUGUGGAGGAAUACCGAUGGCGAAGGCAGCCCCCUGGGCCAAUACUGACGCUCAUGCACGAAAGCGUGGGGAGCAAACAGGAUUAGAUACCCUGGUAGUCCACGCCCUAAACGAUGUCAACUAGUUGUUGGGGAUUCAUUUCCUUAGUAACGUAGCUAACGCGUGAAGUUGACCGCCUGGGGAGUACGGUCGCAAGAUUAAAACUCAAAGGAAUUGACGGGG